rnacentral:rRNA from 1 species
CCUACGGGAGGCAGCAGUGAGGAAUAUUGGUCAAUGGGCGCGAGCCUGAACCAGCCACGUAGCGUGAAGGAUGACUGCCCUACGGGUUGUAAACUUCUUUUAUAAAGGAAUAAAGUGAGGCACGUGUGCCUUUUUGUACGUACUUUAUGAAUAAGGAUCGGCUAACUCCGUGCCAGCAGCCGCGGUAAUACGGAGGAUCCGACCGUUACCCGGAUUUAAUGGGUUUAAAGGGAGCGUAGAUGGGUUUUUAAGUCAGUUAUGAAAGUUUGCGGCUCAACCGUAAAAUUGCUAUUGAUACUGGCAGUCUUGAGUACAGUUGAGGUAGGCGGAAUUCGUGGUGUAGCGGUGAAAUGCUUAGAUAUCACGAAGAACUCCGAUUGCGAAGGCAGCUUACUAAACUGCCACUGACAUUGAUGCACGAAAGUGUGGGUAUCAAACAGGAUUAGAUACCCGUGUAGUC